AUAUGUCCUCGUUAGGUGAGGCUCCUAUGCAAACAUAGGCCACUGCCCAGAAAUAUCGAAAGAUACCAAUGGGUAGACCAGGAAUUGUCGGAUUAAGGCUUUUCAUAAGGUGGCUAAGAGAAUGAACUUUUCACUCUUUACGUUGCAUAGUGCUAAAACUGGACUAGGGGGAAUCGUU
rnacentral:sRNA from 1 species